rnacentral:rRNA from 1 species
GAAACCGUCUAGAGGUAAGCGGGUGGACCCGUCCAGUCGGCCCUCGGAAUUCAGCUUUCGGGACCGUCCGCUGGCGCUGCAAUGUGAUCCCUGGGACGCGUGCGGUGUCAGACCGGGCUCCUGAGAGUGCACUUUCCGUGUUGGCAGAGCGUCACGACCGGCUCGGCGGCGGUGAUAAGGCCCGGGGGAAGGUAGGUCGUGCGUCUUCGGGCGCACGACUGUUAUAGACCCUGGGAGAUAGCCGCUGCCGGGCUGUGGAUCGACCCGUCGUAUGGCAGUGGGGUUUCCCGCGUUCGUUCGACUCGGAAGGACUGGCUUGCCGUGCUUCCGGACUGCGAUGCGUGGGCGGACUCUGCGAUAGCCCGCGAUGUGUUAGGGUCAGUGACACACGAUCGGUAAUCCACCCGGCCCGUCUUGAAACACGGACCAAGAAGUCCAACAUGUGCGCGAGUCAUUGGGUCCUACGAAACCUAAAGGCGUAAUGAAGGUGAAGGCAGGUUCGGCCUGCUGAGGUGAGAUCCCGGCCCUCGGGCUGGGCGCAUCACCGGCCCGUCUGCAAAGGCGGAGCAAGAGCGCACACGUUGGGACCCGAAAGAUGGUGAACUAUGCCUGAGCAGGAUGAAGCCAGAGGAAACUCUGGUGGAAGUCCGUAGCGAUUCUGACGUGCAAAUCGAUCGUCGAACUUGGGUAUAGGGGCGAAAGACUAAUCGAACCAUCUAGUAGCUGGUUCCCUCCGAAGUUUCCCUCAGGAUAGCUGGCGCUCGUAACAGUUUUAUCCGGUAAAGCGAAUGAUUAGAGGCCUUGGGGACGAAACGUCCUCAACCUAUUCUCAAACUUUAAAUGGGUAAGGAGUCGGACUCGCUUAAUUGGAGUCCGGACUGGAAUGUGAGU